GUGCAUGGAUGUCCAGUGAAUGUGAAAAAUACUCCCAAUAGAAAUCAUUCCAAUUAUUGAUGAUGAGCGGACUUGUAAUUCGGUUGGCAUUUUACCACCUGAUUUAAACAUGUCUUUACACCGUUUAUUUAUCGAGGAAUCCUGAAAUAAAACGUGCAAAAUGUCGCUCAGUGCAAACUAUAUGCAUACCAUCCGUGUGGGGCACAAUACAAAAUGUCAGAGUCAAACAGAAAAGUUUGGAACUCCUUCCCCGUUUUUUUUUUUUUUUUUAGUGGUUUAAAAUACAGUGGUGGCCAAAGUCUGCAUCAAAAGCGAUACACAUGUGAUGUCACAGACCCUCUUCCUUCUGUGCUUUUAUAUUGGAGAGUCCACUUCCGGGGACCUUCUAUCUCUCUUCCCUUUCAUUAUCAGUCUGGGCCGGAGGGUGCUCCCACAGCUGCGGCUGAUAAGCGCUUACCUUCUGCGUUUCAGAGCUCUGCUGAUCUGCAAGCGGCUGCCGGAUAAUUCUUGCAUUGAGUGUGCCUACCUCUCUGCUCAGCCUGGUUUCGCGUUUUCCUACAUGGACCACUUGACCCUGCACCUAUAACCCAGCCACUUGCAGAAUCACUGAUUUAUGAAAUAUUCACCUACGUCCACCUAGAGUGGCGCAGUUACUUCAAGUUGCAGAGCACAGGGAGGGAGGGGAAGACGAAGAAAGAGGGAGAGAGUAAUGACCGUGGAAGGUAAAGUGAUAUGUAUCUGAUUAAACGAAGCGGGUAACAAAGAAACAUUCAGGAGACGCCUGGAGUUGGAAAGACUCAAAUCUACGAGACUUUGAAAAAAAGGAAGCUAUUCUUACUCGGUCCGAUUCUGUCAAUUUCCAUGCUCAGAGUGAAUUGCUUGUGGCUCGAGUAACUGAACAUUUCCUAGAAUGGUUUGAUUGUUAUCAUGUUAAAAACUUGCCGCAAACUGGACUGCUAAUAAGAGAGGAGGCGAGUUCCAUAACGCUAACUAAGCAUCGAAGACUUUGAAGCGUCCCGAGGCUGGCUUCAAAAGUUCAUUGCGCGACAUCAGCUGAGCAAUGUGUGAUGAUCGAGGCGAGGUAAAGUUAGAGACGGUGAGUGAGAGGGAAAAAAGCCACCAGGUCUCUUACUCGUCUCAUUUUGUAGCAAAUAGUCCUAACUUUAAUAUUUUGUACAUUUUUUAUAUACCUGUAUUGUCUGCUACAGUUUUUGGGCAAUAUAUUGUUGCACUUGUUGCUUGUGUUGUCACACGUGUAUGUUGUUAACAUACCUGGACGUUCAUGGAGGACAUAUACAAUUGUUUCACUGUUCUCA